UAUCUAAAGAGAAACUGAUUGAAACAGAUUAUUUCCAAACAUUUCCAGCAUUAAUUAUUAAAUUAAAAAUAAUCUAUUUCCUUACGUUGGCCCGAUUGAGAGUAAUAUGCUUAUAAUAAUGUUAAUACAAAACAAGUUGAGUGGCUGGGUAUCUUUCGCGGGAAAUUGUUUUAAAAACGUCAUUUACCUUUGCGUGAUUACGUCACAUCCGUAAACAGAAAGAAGAGGACCCGGCUACUUUAUCACCUGUGUGAAUGUGCUGUGCAUGGGGAUUGGGGAAGAAUCUUAAUCUUACAGCAGUUUCUUUCAGUUUAAACUUGUCAUCUAGAAGUCAAAUGCUUAAAAACUGAGGAAAGUCUCCAGUUAAAAAUGGAACGUGAGACAGCUCGUGCUUAAACAAGUGUAAAAUCCUGACACAGCUAACAGUCAGAGGUCAUCUGAGGAUUGAUGUGACUCUCACCGAUCUCAGCCGGAAGCCUCGUCAGACCGUUUUUUGGGACAUCCAGCACACACAGAUCCACAAACAUCUCAAUAUAAGUGGGAAUCUCCGGAAUCUUUGUUCCAUGGAUGUGCCAUUCCUUCAGAUAGGUCAUAUACUGAAGCUCUUCAGGAAAUGAGUUCUGCUCUGAUUCACGAUAAAUUAUUUAUCAAGACGUUCUGGGAGCAGAAGAUCGACCAUCACACCAGCAUGACAGAAGCUGAGGAGCAGAGGAGGAAGAGCAGCGCUCUCACAAAGCUUCGUGACGAGUGGCUGAAGAGACUGGAAAACCGGACGAAACAUCUGAAGAAUUUUGGUGACAACCGCAGCCCGAGCGUAUCAACCACGUGAUGAACGCGUGACACACAGAUGAUCUGAAGUCAAUAAAGACACACAUGAUAUGAA